CCCUAUUAUACUUUAGUUAAAAUAAAUUUAAGGUAGUAAAUGAUAAAAUCAGGAAACUUAAAGAAUUUGGCGGUAUUUAUUCUUAUUAGAGGAAUAUGUUUUUAAUUGAUAAUCCCCAACUAUCUUACUUAAAUUUUUAAAUUUUGUAUAUCUCCGUCUAAAAAAUUUUUUUUAAAAUAAAGUUUAUUUUUCUAUAAAGAAAUAAGUCAGGUCAAGGUGCAGAUUAUAUUUAAGUUAAAAUGUAUUACAAUAAAAUUAUUUAUGGAAUUAGUAUUAAACUAUUAAUUAAAAUUGGAUUUAAUAGUAAUUUUAUUUUUAUUAUUAUAAAUUGAAUUAUGUAAAUAAAUAUGUACACAUCGCCC
rnacentral:rRNA from 1 species